ACGACUCUCGGCAACGGAUAUCUCGGCUCUCGCAUCGAUGAAGAACGUAGCGAAAUGCGAUACUUGGUGUGAAUUGCAGAAUCCCGUGAACCAUCGAGUUUUUGAACGCAAGUUGCGCCCAAAGCCUUUCGGCCGAGGGCACGUCUGCCUGGGUGUCACGCAACAU
rnacentral:rRNA from 3 species